AUGAUACAUUUGUUUGUUCAAAAGAAUUUCUCAUUCAAGGAGCAUUUGCAUCCUUCUUAGGAGGUGUAUUUGAUUGGAUACUUGAAAUACUCGAGCUUGACUCUAAUUAACUUGAUUACCUUAAGAAAUUUAGGUAAUUUGUUUAGUGAUCUUGAAUUAAAGCUCAAAAGGUAAGCUUGAGUUCAGGCUCAAAUUCAUAAUAAUCAUUUAACUAGUAUAUAAAUAGGAAAUAUAUUUAAAAUUACUUAAAAACUAAAUAUUCAAUUGGGCUCAUG
rnacentral:misc_RNA from 1 species